UUCAUAGCUGAUUUACUUAACCUAUCAUCUACAGCGUUUAGGAAUCGAACUGCACUUUUAAAGUCCACUAUUGAACCACUCUACAAGAAUAGGUUCCCUUCACUGCGUGGCUUCACUGUGAUUUCAUUCAGCAAUGGGUCAAUUGUCAACAACAUUGAUCUUGAAUUUGCAGCAGCAUCCGC